rnacentral:rRNA from 1 species
CACGGAAUUAGCCGGUCCUUUUUCUGAAGGUACAUACAAUAGAGGACACGUCCUCUUUUUUAUUCCCAACUAAAAGCAGUUUACAACCCAGAGGGCCGUCAUCCUGCACGCUACUUGGCUGGUUCAGACUUUCGUCCAUUGACCAAUAUUCCUCACUGCUGCCUCCCGUAGGAGUCUGGACCGUGUCCCAGUUCCAGUGUGGGGGACCUUCCUCUCAGAACCCCUACCGAUCGAAGGCUAGGUGGGCCGUUACCCCGCUACUACCUAAUCGGACGCAUCACCAUCUCAUACCGAUAAAUCUUUGGUUAUAUCACCAUGCGGUAACAUAACAACAUCGGUAUUAAUCUUACUUUCGCAAGGCUAUCCCCGAGUAUGAGGCAGGUUUGAUACGCGUUACGCACCCGUGCGCCGGUCGCCAUCAGAGAAGCAAGCUUCUUCCAUGCUGCCCCUCGACUUGCAUGUGUUAAGCCUGUAGCUAGCGUUCAUCCUGAGCCAGGACUCAAAACUCUCUACG